ACGUACACUCCUGCGGGAGGCAGCAGUGGGGAAUAUUGGACAAUGGGCGCAAGCCUGAUCCAGCCAUGCCGCGUGAGUGAUGAAGGCCCUAGGGUUGUAAAGCUCUUUUGUGCGGGAAGAUAAUGACGGUACCGCAAGAAUAAGCCCCGGCUAACUUCGUGCCAGCAGCCGCGGUAAUACGAAGGGGGCUAGCGUUGCUCAGAAUCACUGGGCGUAAAGGGUGCGUAGGCGGGUCUUUAAGUCAGGGGUGAAAUCCUGGAGCUCAACUCCAGAACUGCCUUUGAUACUGAAGAUCUUGAGUUCGGGAGAGGUGAGUGGAACUGCGAGUGUAGAGGUGAAAUUCGUAGACAUUCGCAAGAACACCAGUGGCGAAGGCGGCUCACUGGCCCGAUACUGACGCUGAGGCACGAAAGCGUGGGGAGCAAACAGGAUUAGAUACCCUAGUAGUCCCAUG
rnacentral:rRNA from 1 species